rnacentral:rRNA from 1 species
AACCUUUAGCUAAACAAAUAUUAAAGGCAACGCCUGCCCAGUGAACGAUUAAACGGCCGCGGUACCCUAACCGUGCAAAGGUAGCGUAAUCACUUGUCUAUUAAUUGUAGACCCGUAUGAAAGGCAUAAUGAGGGCCUAACUGUCUCCUAUAAUAAAUCAAUUAAACUGAUCUCCCAGUAAAAAAGCUGGGAUAUAAACAUAAGACCAGAAGACCCUGUGAAGCUUAAACUAAACUAUUAAAUCUAAUAAUAAAUCCUUUCGGUUGGGGCGACCUUGGAAACAAAAAGAACUUCCAAAUAUAUGACCUAAUAUCAUACCACUACAGGCCUACAAGCCUAAAUAUAGAUCCAGCUUACCAUUGCUGAAUAAUGAACCAAGUUACUCCAGGGAUAACAGCGCUAUCUUCUUCAAGAGCCCAUAUCAAAAAGAAGGUUUACGACCUCGAUGUUGGAUCAGGACAUCCUAUUGGUGCAGCCGCUAUUAAGGGUUCGUUUGUUCAACGAUUAAUAGUCCU